UACGUAGGGGGCAAGCGUUAUCCGGAUUUACUGGGUGUAAAGGGAGCGUAGACGGCAGCGCAAGUCUGAAGUGAAAUGCCGGGGCCCAACCCCGGAACUGCUUUGGAAACUGUGCAGCUUGAGUGCAGGAGAGGUAAGUGGAAUUCCUAGUGUAGCGGUGAAAUGCGUAGAUAUUAGGAGGAACACCAGUGGCGAAGGCGGCUUACUGGACUGUAACUGACGGUGAGGCGCGAAAGCGUGGGGAGCAAACAGG
rnacentral:rRNA from 1 species